rnacentral:snRNA from 1 species
AUCGCUUCUCGGCCUUUUGGCUAAGAUCAAGUGUAGUAUCUGUUCUUAUCAGUUUAAUAUCUGACAGUUCAAAAGCAUCAGUUCUUCAGUGCUCAGCUUUC